rnacentral:lncRNA from 1 species
AGACUCCUGGACCGCCUUCUGACCGGCUAGGAUGUGUGGGCAAAGGUGGAAGGAGGCCGCCACAGUGCUUGGCUUUCUGCAUGUCACAGGCAAGGUGGAUAUUAGAAGCCCUUGUCAGUUUUACAAAUCCAGAGCAGAUAGAAAGAAGGUUUCUGACAGCCCUGGUGUGAGCCAUGUGCCCAUGAUGAAUCCAAUCACCGUGGUUAGGUCAUCUGGUUUGCUCCAGCCCCUGGGACACAGAGCUGUGAGAAAGCAUGCAUCCUUUCAGAUCCAACUGGUGGCGGGCGUGACCCUCCAGGAAAUUUUCCUUUGCUGGCUGCCCGAGUUGGCCAGACAACUUAUCCUCUGAUUGGGGGGUCACACAUCACCCCAAGAGAAUGGUGAUUUUUUUCUGAAGGCAAUGGCAGCAGAGGGAGAGGGAGGAGGCUUAAAAUAACACACACACACACACACACACACACACACGUGCGCACAUGCAGAAGACCAAUGUGUAACACUGAUGGACUCACACAGACUUCAGGAUUAAUUUAUAGAUGCUUCUUAAGCUGAAGUGACUCGUUCAGGCAGCUGGGCCAGGCCAGGCCACGCUUCUUGGGCUUUCCAUCUGCUGAACCAUUCCCGCCUCAGCCCCAGCUAAUGUAGAGGAAGAAAAGUGCUGACAGUGGCCACAGGCCAUGGUGGGAUCAUGCUCCAGGUCUUUGCACUCAAGCCGCCUGGAAUGGCAGAGUUCUAAUGAUUUUUUUUUUUUUAACUUCUUCAUUGUUUUGUUUUUUAACUGCAGCAAAAUCUUCAGAGGGUGCCAUAUACCUGUCUUUUGUGUGUAAUGCAACGACUUUUGAUGGACGUAUAUACCACGUCACCCAAGUUACAAAACAUUCCAUUGCCCCAGAAAGUUCUUUUGUGUCCCUUCCAGUUACAGUCACCCCAAAGGUGCCAUUCUUCUGAUUUCUUUCACCAUACCCAAAUUCUAGAGCUUCAUGUCAGAACAAUCACCCUAGGUUUAUUAUCUUGUAUUAUUUUUUUUCCACUCAGCCCAAGGUCUGUGAAGUUCAUCCAGCUGUUGUGUGCAUCGGUAUUUGAAUCCAAUAUCCUCUGACUCCUAGCCCAGCAUGUGAACCCACACCUGUUGGUUUGCCUCUGUUCACUGGCAGUUCUGUUGUUUCCAGUUUGGGGCUAUUGCGAAGAAAGCUGCACCAAGCAUCCAUGUACCAGACACUGUGUGGACACAGGCUUUCAUUCUCUUCAAUUAAAAAUCUAAGAGUAGAACUGCUGGAUCAUAAGGAGGCAAAUAUUUAAAAUUUAGAAGAAAUUUAUCAUUGAAGCAGUUGUACUGCUUACACUAUCUGCACAAAUGUGGGGGAGUGGCAGUCCACCAGCUCUUUAUCCUCACCAAGGUUUCAUGUUGCUGGUCUAGGGCCUGAACCCAUGGCAUAUGGGUCUAAUCGGAGCUGUAGCUGCUGGCCUACACCACAGCCACAGCAACACAGUAUUCGAGCCAUAUCUGUGACCUACACCACAGCUCACGGCAAUGUCGGGUCCUUAAUCCACUGAGCAAGGCCAGGGAUCAAACCUGCAACCUCAUGGUUCCUAAUCGGAUUUGUUUCCCUUGCGCCAUGAUGGGAACUCCUGCUGGUCUUUUUAGUUUUAACCACUCUUGGGUGUGAACAAUGGUAGCUCAUUGUGAUCUUCAUUUGCAUUUCCCUGAUGACUAAUGAUGAUGAGCACAGCUUCCUGUGUUUACUGGCUAUUCACACACCCCAGAGUCACAAGCAUUUUCUCCUAAAAACGUUAUUAUUUUUUUUUCUUUUUCUUUUUAGGACUGUACUUGUGGCAUAUGGAGGUUCCCAGGCUAGGGGUUGAACUGGAGUUGCAGCUGCCAGCCUACACCAGAGCCACAGCCACAGCAAUGCCAGAUAUGAGCCACAUCUGCAACCUAUGCCACAGCUUGUGGCAACACCACUGAGCGAGGUCAGGGAUGGAACCCACAUCCUCACAGAGACAAUGUUGGGUUCUCAAUCUGCUGAACCACAGUGAGAACUCUUUAUAAUCUUAACAUUUACCUUCAAGUCUAUGAUAUAGCUCAAAUUAGUAUUUGGGUGUGGUGAGAGGUAGAGGGCUAAGUUGGUUUUUACCAUAUAUAUCCAGGUGUUUAAUAUUGUUGCAAAGGCUUUUCUGUCCCAUGAUAUUGCUUCAGAACCUUGGGUGAAAAUCAAUUCACUGUCUCUUUGUGGGUCUAUUUCUGGUCUCCCUGGUCUCUUCUAUUUAUCUGUCUUUCCUUAUGCUGAUGCCACACUGUCUUGAUUACGUAGCUUUACCAUAAGUGUUGAAUCAGGUAGUUUAAGUUCUCCUCUCUAAAUCUUUCUUUGGCAAUAUUGUUUUAACUAUCUAUAUCUUUGCUUUUCCAUAUAAAUUCUUAAUAACGUGUUUCUUGUCAUUUUCUACAAAAACAUCUGUGGAGAUUAUACUUGGAAUUACUUUAAAUUUAGGCAGAAUUGAUACCUUAACAAUAUUGAGUUUUUCAACUCAUCAACAUAGAAUAUCUCUUUACUUACAAGGUUUUUUAAAAAAUAUCUUUCAGCAGUGUUUUGUCAUUUUAUGAUAAAUAUUAUCCAUAUUUUCUUCAAUUUAUUCCUAAGUAUUUUGGGCAUUGGAAUAUUAAUGUAAAAGAGCACUUAAAAUUUUAUUUUCCAAUCUUUUGCUGCUAGUGUAUAGACUUGUAUAGAUUUGGUUCUAGGAGCUGCUUUGUAGGUUCCCUAGGAUUUUCGAUGUAAAGAAUCACGUUAUCUGUAAAGAGAGUUUUAAUUCUUUUGUUCACAUUUUAAUUCCUCUAUUUCUUUUUUAUUAUUAUUAUUCUACCUUAUUGCAUUGUCUGAAAUCUCCAAUACAAAGCUGAACAGAAGUGGCAAGACCAGACAUUAUGGCUUAAUUCCCAUCCUAGAGGAAAGCAUCUAAUAUUUUAGAUUGGUUAUAUUUAUGGUGUGGUUAAUUUUUUUAGAUACCCUGUAUGAUAUUAAGGAAGUUAUCCUCUAUUCCCAGCUUUCUGAGAAUUUUUUUAUGAUCAAUAGAUGCUGAUUUUUGUAAAAUG